rnacentral:misc_RNA from 1 species
GAAAUGCGAUAAUUAAUGUGAAUUGCAGAAUUCAGUGAAUCAUCGAGUCUUUGAACGCACAUUGCGCCCCCUGGUAUUCCGGGAGGCAUGCUUGUCCGAGCGUCAUUGCUGCCCUCAAGCACGGCUUGUGUGUUGGGCUUCCGUCCCUGGCAACGGGGACGGGCCCAAAAGGCAGUGGCGGCACCAUGUCUGGUCCUCGAGCGUAUGGGGCUUUGUCACCCGCUCCCGUAGGUCCAGCUGGCAGCUAGCCUCGCAACCAAUCUUUUUAACCAGGUUGACCUCGGAUCAGGUAGGGAUACCCGCUGAACUUAAGC